GGUAGCGCCUCGUGAAUUCAUCUCCGGGGGUAGAGCACUGUUUCGGCUAGGGGGCCAUCCCGGCUUACCAACCCGAUGCAAACUGCGAAUACCGGAGAAUGUUAUCACGGGAGACACACGGCGGGUGCUAACGUCCGUCGUGAAGAGGGAAACAACCCAGACCGCCAGCUAAGGUCCCAAAGUCAUGGUUAAGUGGGAAACGAUGUGGGAAGGCCCAGACAGCCAGGAUGUUGGCUUAGAAGCAGCCAUCAUUUAAAGAAAGCGUAAUAGCUCACUGGUCGAGUCGGCCUGCGCGGAAGAUGUAACGGGGCUAAACCAUGCACCGAAGCUGCGGCAGCGAACGUAUCACUUAAAGCGAUUCAGCGGGUUACGAUUGACGGAGCGAAGCGACGUCAAAGCGUAUACAAAGUCGAGUCGGUUUAAGGAUACGUUCGUUGGGUAGGGGAGCGUUCUGUAAGCCUGUGAAGGUGGCCUGUGAGGGUUGCUGGAGGUAUCAGAAGUGCGA
rnacentral:rRNA from 1 species